AUCUUCAAGUCUCAUCUUCAUGUCCAUCUCUUCUCCGUAACUCCAAACGCGCCCUUUCUCCUUCGUCUCUUUGCCUGCGAUUAUUUUCCCCGAUUUUCAGUUCGACAUCUGCCGGGAACAUCGCGAAAAAUCUGCCUCUCUUCGAAGAUUCUGAUCGUAAUACAAGCGAGAGCGUUUGAUUUUCUUGGCGAAGGAUUCUGAUCGGAACUGGUUGUCUUUGUAUUGGUUGAAUUUUGAAUUUGAAAUGGUUUUCAUCUGUGAAAUUUCGUCAUCCGAUGAAGAUGAAGGAAUCGGUGAGAAGGAGAGAUAGCAAUAAAAGAAGCCGCGAAAUUAGGCGGAGGGAGAAGGAAAUCUUUUAAUAUCUGUUUUAUCUGCUUUCUUGUUUCUGUCUGCAGAAUCGCCAUGUCUGCCACCGUUCUUAGCGAUACAAUCCUAGAACCUCAAGCAGCAUCGACGAAGCUAAUCGCUCAUAUGGAGGUGGAGUUCGUUAAAUGCUAUUGCUGCGGACUCAUAGAGGAAUGCACACCAGCGUACAUACAACGUGUUCGUGAACGUUACAAUGAACAUUGGAUCUGCGGCCUCUGUUCCGAGGCAAUCAACUACGAAAUCCUCCGUUCUCGAAGCCUAAUCACGGCGGAGGAAGCCAUGGAAAUACACAUGAACCUCUGCAAAAAAUUCACAGCGUUGAAACCACCUCCAAAUCCUGCGGUGCAUUUGAUAUCAGCGAUGCGACAGAUUUUGAAGCGCAGUUUAGAUUCUCCCUCAAGGGCCGUGAGGUCGAUGCCAACAAGUCCGAUGAAGAAAGCCUCUCGCCCGCCGCCACUCGCUCGCACGGGAAGCUGCCUAUCUUCCCUCUCUGGGUCGUGAAUCAUCAAAGGUACAGGAUUCCAUGGACCAACAAAACUCAAUCAAAACUGAACAUAUUGGGAUCCAAUAAUACUUUAUAUUCCAUAAACAUAGACCUUAUCAUAGGCUGAAUUAUACAAUACGCUUCGUGAUGCCUGGUUUUUUUGUUUUUGUCAUAAUUGGCAAAAUUCUAACCAUUUUCCUUGUGUAAUUUAGCUUGAAUAUUAAUAAAAGUUGAAUUUCUGUGCAGUAA